rnacentral:rRNA from 1 species
GAUGAACGCUGGCGGCGUGCCUAAUACAUGCAAGUCGAGCGAACAGACGAGGAGCUUGCUCCUUUGACGUUAGCGGCGGACGGGUGAGUAACACGUGGAUAACCUACCUAUAAGACUGGGAUAACUUCGGGAAACCGGAGCUAAUACCGGAUAACAUGUUGAACCGCAUGGUUCAACAGUGAAAGACGGUCUUGCUGUCACUUAUAGAUGGAUCCGCGCCGCAUUAGCUAGUUGGUAAGGUAACGGCUUACCAAGGCAACGAUGCGUAGCCGACCUGGGAGGGUGAUCGGCCACACUGGAACUGAGCCACGGUCCAGACUCCUACGGGAGGCAGCAGUAGGGAAUCUUCCGCAAUGGGCGAAAGCCUGACGGAGCAACGCCGCGUGAGUGAAGAAGGUCUUCGGAUCGUAAAACUCUGUUAUUAGGGAAGAACAAAUGUGUAAGUAACUAUGCACGUCUUGACGGUACCUAAUCAGAAAGCCACGGCUAACUACGUG